CCUCUGUAGUUCAGUCGGUAGAACGGCGGACUGUUAAUCCGUAUGUCACUGGUUCGAGUCCAGUCAGAGGUU
rnacentral:tRNA from 4 species